rnacentral:rRNA from 1 species
GUGUCAGCAGCCGCGGUAAUACAGAGGUCUCGAGCGUUAGUCGGAGUCACUGGGCUUAAAGCGUACGUAGGCGGAUAUGCAGGCGUCGUGUGAAAUCCCUUGGCUCAACCAAGGAACUGCACGGCGAACCGCAUGUCUUGAGAUCGGUAGGGGCGGUCGGAACGAUAGGUGGAGUGGUGAAAUGCGUUGAUAUCUAUCGGAACGCCGAAGGUGAAAGCAGGCCGCUGGGCCGAUUCUGACGCUGAGGUACGAAAGCGUGGGGAGCGAACGGGAUUAGAUACCCCCGUAGUCC